rnacentral:rRNA from 1 species
CCUACGGGAGGCAGCAGUGGGGAAUAUUGGACAAUGGGCGAAAGCCUGAUCCAGCAAUGCCGCGUGAGUGAUGAAGGCCUUAGGGUUGUAAAGCUCUUUUACUAGGGAUGAUAAUGACAGUACCUAGAGAAUAAGCCCCGGCUAACUCCGUGCCAGCAGCCGCGGUAAUACGGAGGGGGCUAGCGUUGUUCGGAAUUACUGGGCGUAAAGAGUACGUAGGCGGUUAUUCAAGUCAGAGGUGAAAGCCUGGAGCUCAACUCCAGAACUGCCUUUGAAACUAGAUAGCUAGAAUCAUGGAGAGGUUAGUGGAAUUCCGAGUGUAGAGGUGAAAUUCGUAGAUAUUCGGAAGAACACCAGUGGCGAAGGCGACUAACUGGACAUGUAUUGACGCUGAGGUACGAAAGCGUGGGGAGCAAACAGGAUUAGAUACCCUGGUAGUCCACGCCGUAAACGAUGAUAACUAGCUGUUCGGGCUACUCAGAGCUUGAGUGGCGCAGCUAACGCAUUAAGUUAUCCGCCUGGGGAUACGGUCGCAAGAUUAAACUUAAAUGAAUUGACGG